ACCGCUGGAUAGACCACAGGCUCAAGUCCAGUGUAGUAGGUUUAUAAUAGGUGAAGAGUUACUCAAAGAUGUCUUAAACUUCAAUGAAUUAAGGUUACAUGGAAAUACUGAGGUUGGGAUAGAGGACUCUGCUAAAUAAAGAUAUUGGGCUACCUGUGGAAUAAUAAAUUGCCCAAAUGAAUGCUGAGACUCUGAAUAAUUGCCCAAUGCCGAUAAUGUCAAUGAUGAUUCGGAUAAGCUCCUGGGAUUCUACAAUGGAUUGCUUUGUUUAGCUUUACACAUUUACACAAAUGUGUCAACACUAACACGUCUAGCCAACCGGUAAGUUCAAACAGAUACUGAAGGAAUGCAUACAACACUGCUUGU